CCCUCACCCUUUUUCUCUUCUUUCUCUUUCUUUCCCCCUUCUCCCUUGUUGGUCACGCACAGCCCACCCCUCUCUAUUUUUCCCUCAUCUCUUUCCCCACUCCAUCUACCACGUAGCCCCUCUCUCCCUCUCCUAUCCGUCUCUUUCUCUCUUUCUCGCACAAGGAUGUGAACCCUAGAGAGAGCCCGAGUUGCAGAAUCACUAAGAAGAAGAAAAAAGAAUAACAAAAUGAUGAUGUUUCUUUGGCUGCAGGUAUUCCAGUCGUAGUUGAUGGUGUUGUAGAAGUGUACUGAGGAUAUUAUGACUGAAGCUCAACGCGACGGUUGUAAUGUGAUAGACCGUGGGAUGUCUAUUCCUUUAGGUAUUUUGAUUAUGGCUUGUGACGCUUAUGUCACAUAAUCUUUGUUAAGCCAUUUAUGUUAUGUAUUUAAUUUGAGGAAGACUUAAAUCAUAUAGUUAUUUAAUGGCUCUUGUUGUAA